rnacentral:rRNA from 1 species
GACGAACGCUGGCGGCGUGCCUAAUACAUGCAAGUAGAACGCUGAAGGAGGAGCUUGCUUCUCCGGAUGAGUUGCGAACGGGUGAGUAACGCGUAGGUAACCUGCCUGGUAGCGGGGGAUAACUAUUGGAAACGAUAGCUAAUACCGCAUAACAGUAGAUGUUGCAUGACAUUUGCUUAAAAGGUGCAAUUGCAUCACUACCAGAUGGGCCUGCGUUGUAUUAGCUAGUUGGUGAGGUAACGGCUCACCAAGGCGACGAUACAUAGCCGACCUGAGAGGGUGAUCGGCCACACUGGGACUGAGACACGGCCCAGACUCCUACGGGAGGCAGCAGUAGGGAAUCUUCGGCAAUGGACGGAAGUCUGACCGAGCAACGCCGCGUGAGUGAAGAAGGUUUUCGGAUCGUAAAGCUCUGUUGUAAGAGAAGAACGAGUGUGAGAGUGGAAAGUUCACACUGUGACGGUAUCUUACCAGAAAGGGACGGCUAACUACGUG